rnacentral:rRNA from 1 species
GAUGAACGCUGGCGGCGUGCCUAAUACAUGCAAGUCGAGCGAACGGACGAGAAGCUUGCUUCUCUGAUGUUAGCGGCGGACGGGUGAGUAACACGUGGAUAACCUCCCUAUAAGACUGGGAUAACUUCGGGAAACCGGAGCUAAUACCGGAUAAUAUUUUGAACCGCAUGGUUCAAAAGUGAAAGACGGUCUUGCUGCCACUAAUAGAUGGAUCCGCGCUGCAUUAGCUAGUUGGUAAGGUAACGGCUUACCAAGGCAACGAUGCAUAGCCGACCUGAGAGGGUGAUCGGCCACACGGGAACUGAGACACGGUCCAGACUCCUACGGGAGGCAGCAGUAGGGAAUCUUCCGCAAUGGGCGAAAGCCUGACGGAGCAACGCCGCGUGAGUGAUGAAGGUCUUCGGAUCGUAAAACUCUGUUAUUAGGGAAGAACAUAUGUGUAAGUAACUGUGCACAUCUUGACGGUACCUAAUCAGAAAGCCACGGCUAACUACGUG